CCUGACCAGACUGCACGGAUGCGCAGGCUGGUCUGGAUCCAUGCUGGUCGCAUACCCACUAUGUUGAUUUUCUAAUGGCACGGCUCAGUUAUGUAUUUCAAAGAUGAUAUUUUUGAUAAUUUGAAGAUAUAAUUGAAACUUAAUUUGAGUAUGCGUUACCUUUGAAGUGAUUUAAACAGAUAACCUCUCUUGCAGGGUUGUUUUGAUAAAAUCUGGGACGAGACAUUUGGAAAUACAACUCUAGCAGCUGCCGUCCUGGGUGGUGUUGGGGCAUUUCAGUUACUGUUGAUCAUCUUUGCUAUUGUAAUAUUGUGCACGGAGAGGAACGCGAAGCAGAACAAGAUCAGACCAGCUGAUAAGCCCGCACCAAGAAAAGAGCCAAAUACACGUGUUAAACGGCGCAACAAUCCUGCAAUUAUGACACACAAAAAAUAAAAUAAUACGGACUGAUAAUUGUUGCAGACAAUCUUAUCUUUUAUGAUAUACCUCUAUACAUUCUGCCAAAAAUACAGCUUGUAUAUUAUAAGUAAAUAUAAACAGACAGAAAAAAAAUCCGUAUUGUAUCUUCAUAACUUGAGACAUAUUUGACCUAGAACUAUGAAACUUAAACUGAAUUUAGAUCACCAUAAUGUGGUAGUGCACGCUCUAUUUUGUCAGGAUAUCUUUAGUAACUAUAGAGUUAUUGCCCUUAAAUUGUUUUAAAAUCCAUAAAUUUGUACAUAACAAACUAACCAAUUUGAGAGAGUUUCAUUAAAUUUCUUCAUUUUUU